UGGAAGAUUUGCUUUCAUAAUGGGCAUAAUUGUACAGUUAUUAUGAUUGUAGUACAAACAAAUGGAAGUAUGUCAAUCUCUGUAUUUGUUUCUUUUGUUUAAAUGUCUACCUAAGAAGAUAUGUUUUAUAUAUCUAUUACAUAUUACCUAUCAAUCUGAUCCAUGUAGAACACAGCUUCAAUAAGUAGCCAACUGCGUCGAGGUCCUGGGUUGCAUGCUAUAACAAUAUUAUUUUAACUUAAAAAACUCAUUCGUUUAUAUUUCGCCUUUACUCCAAUAUACCUUUACCUUUAUUCCAAUAUACUCUUGGCUUGUUUUUUUCUUCUAUCAUAUGAAUACAAGAACAUUCACUAACUACAGCAUACCCUUCUCUCUUGACCUUUACUUUCUGGUUAUUACCUUUACAACAACAUAAUUUCUGGUCAAUAGGAUUUUAAGCAUGUAGUUCUUCUGGGAGAGCUGAUGCCAUGGGGGGGUGCCUCGACUCAGAUACUUAAUCUUAAAUAAUCCCUGUAGUUAAUGUGGGAUGUUGUUCAAAUGGGAUGUGGUUCUUUGGGAGUCU